GUGCCACGAGAUGUGACCUUGCCUCACUGUCCUUCUGCGGCUCCCCCGUCACCAGGAACCCGAGGACUGCUGUGUCAUUGUCCCCGUGUUAAAAGUGGGGUGCGCCAGCGUUGGCUCCGUCUAGAACUGGGUCUUUGUUCUCUCCCGACAAUUUUAUUUAAUUGUCAUAGACUCUGGGUCUGGAGUUCUGUCUCAUCCAGCAAGAGAGCGGAUGCAGGAUUAAACACAAUGGGGUCAAGGCCAUGCAAACAGCAAGAAGGGAGAAGGAAGCAGGUGAGGAGGAGGAGAAGGGAGGUCGGCUCGGCUGGCACAGCAUUCGCGCGUUCGCGCGGUUCCAGGACGACAUCCCAAGAGAUUUCAGCCGGAAAACUGGCUACCUUCUCUGUUCAGGUCGCAACAUUGACAUCAAGGACAUUUCUCGUAGAAUAUGCGGGAGAUGGAAGAAAAGACGUUGCAAUAAUGGAGACAGAGGCGCGAGAGACGGAGAGAAAGCCAGGUCCUGGUAUGCCCGCUGGGUGCACAUACACGAUCCUCACAGCGACCCCCGACAAGGUCCGGCCAGCACCUUGCCCCCUGCUUCUCAGCCCUGGCCUGAAGGGUUCCCUCCAACCCCAUCAGGACCUCGGGGGCUUGGGCCAGGGCAGAGUGAUUUUAAAACAUCCCCACGUGAUGCUGAUAGGCGGUCAAAGCCUCAGCCCCCGGGGGCAGUGGAAAGACGCCCCGCCCCGCCCCCAUCCCCAGGGACCCCGUCCCCAGCCGACCUCAGGCUCUCAGGCUCCAGCUGCUCUUUCUUCUUCGGGGGCGUUGCACUCACCUGACCCGUGGUCACCCUUCUUCUCUGUGACCUCUGACUCCUGUCACUGAAGAAGAACCUGCACGCUCCUUGUCCACAUGCACCUGCUGUUCAGUGUCCCUAGAUGCCCCCCCCAGACCCCUUGUAGAACUCACACCUCCCUCCAUGGCCCUGGCCCAGAGUGUCCCCCGCUCAGAGACUCACUACCCACCCCCCUCCAUGAUGCCAUGAAGCAAAUCUCAAACUCCUGACCAUGGCAUCCUGACAUGUUUGGGUAGAUCAUUGAUAUUUAACCAGACAAAUACAAAAUGUAACUAAAAUGAGAGCCAGCAAGCUUUUUUUUUUUUUAACUUGGCACUCUUUGUUUAUGGUGGACCGUCCCCAUGGAAACUGGGGAUAAAAAUAGCUGGCCUGUGUGUGUACCUGGUAAGGUUGUGAUGAGCACACGGGACACUACAAAUGUCCUUAUCCAGGAAGCUGUUGAAUCGCUGAGCUGGGCACUCCCUCCAAGGCCCAAGCCUCACCGACGGGCUUCGAAACGGAGGUGUCGGUGUUUGGGAGACUCCCCAGCUCCCAUCCUGCUCCCAUCCUUCCAGAUAGCCUCUCUGCUGGCAUCUAGGCCACCGUGCACUCCCAGCAGCCAGGCUGGAAGCCUGUGCUCACUUCUCGUCCGACCCGAGCUCGCCCCACAUGGGGCCACGGCCACUUGGAAAACUCUCUUUUCUUGGGGCCCCCUGUUCUAUGAAACGGGUUGAUUGUGUCUCCUCCCGUGGCUCCUGCUUCUGUCAGCUUGUGGAAGGGGUCUCAGGUGCCCAGGAGUGGCCUUUGCACACAGCGCCCCUCCCCCACCACUCCUGUGAUUUAUCCCUUGACUGUGAGCUCCUGGAGGGCAGAGGCCACGUUUUAUUAAUACCUAUAACCCAAUAUCGAUACUUUGCCA
ensembl:lncRNA